CAAAUAAACAGUAAGAAA
rnacentral:misc_RNA from 1 species